AACGAACGCUGGCGGCAGGCUUAACACAUGCAAGUCGAACGGGCGUAGCAAUACGUCAGUGGCAGACGGGUGAGUAACACGUGGGAACCUUCCUAGGGGUACGGAACAACUCAGGGACACUUGAGCUAAUACCGUAUACGUCCGAGAGGAGAAAGAUUUAUCGCCCGUAGACGGGCCCGCGUCGGAUUAGGUAGUUGGUGGGGUAACGGCCUACCAAGCCGACGAUCCGUAGCUGAUCUGAGAGGAUGAUCAGCCACACUGGGACUGAGACACGGCCCAGACUCCUACGGGAGGCAGCAGUGGGGAAUCUUGGACAAUGGGCGCAAGCCUGAUCCAGCCAUGCCGCGUGAGUGAAGAAGGCCUUAGGGUUGUAAAGCUCUUUUGGCAGGGACGAUAAUGACGGUACCUGCAGAAUAAGCCCCGGCAAACUUCGUGCCAGCAGCCGCGGUAACAC
rnacentral:rRNA from 1 species